rnacentral:rRNA from 1 species
GACGAACGCUGGCGGCGUGCUUAACACAUGCAAGUCGUACGGUAAGGCCCUUUCGGGGGUACACGAGUGGCGAACGGGUGAGUAACACGUGAGUAACCUGCCCACAACUUUGGGAUAACGCUAGGAAACUGGUGCUAAUACUGGAUAUGUGCUCCUGCUGCAUGGUGGGGGUUGGAAAGCUCCGGCGGUUGUGGAUGGACUCGCGGCCUAUCAGCUUGUUGGUGGGGUAGUGGCCUACCAAGGCGGCGACGGGUAGCCGGCCUGAGAGGGUGACCGGCCACAUUGGGACUGAGAUACGGCCCAGACGCCUACGGGAGGCAGAAGUGGGGAAUAUUGCACAAUGGGCGCAAGCCGGAUGCAGCAACGCCGCGUGCGGGAUGACGGCCUUCGGGUUGUAAACCGCUUUCAGCAGGGACGAAGCUUUUUGUGACGGUACCUGCAGAAGAAGCACCGGCUAACUACGUG